rnacentral:rRNA from 1 species
AGCGUUGUUCGGAAUUACUGGGCGUAAAGGGCGCGUAGGCGGUGCACCAAGUCAGGCGUGAAAGCCCCGGGCUCAACCCGGGAACGGCGCUUGAGACUGGAGCGCUCGAGUUCGGGAGAGGACGGCGGAAUUCCCAGUGUAGAGGUGAAAUUCGUAGAUAUUGGGAAGAACACCGACGGCGAAGGCAGCCGUCUGGACCGACACUGACGCUGAGGCGCGAAAGCGUGGGGAGCAAACAGG